AUUGAACGCUGGCGGCAUGCUUUACACAUGCAAGUCGAACGGUAACAGGCCGCAAGGUGCUGACGAGUGGCGAACGGGUGAGUAACGCGUAGACAACCUGCCUCUAAACUGGGGACCACACCGCGAAAGUGGUGCUAAUACCGAAUGUGGUAACUUGGUCGCAUGACUAAGUUAAGAAAGAUGGCCUCUACAUGUAAGCUAUCGAUUAGAGAUGGGUCUUCGGCUGAUUAGCUAGUUGGUGAGGUAAUGGCUCACCAAGGCAACGAUCAGUAGCCGGUCUGAGAGGAUGAACGGCCACACUGGGACUGAGACACGGCCCAGACUCCUACGGGAGGCAGCAGUGGGGAAUCUUCCGCAAUGGACGAAAGUCUGACGGAGCAACGCCGCGUGAGUGAAGAAGGUUUUCGGAUCGUAAAGCUCUGUCGUUUGGGACGAACGCGUUCUUUGUGAAUAAUGAAGAACAAUGACGGUACCAAAGGAGGAAGCCACGGCUAACUACGUGCCAGCAGCCGCCGUAAUAC
rnacentral:rRNA from 1 species